rnacentral:rRNA from 1 species
UACGUAGGGGGCAAGCGUUGUCCGGAAUCAUUGGGCGUAAAGAGCGUGUAGGCGGUUCGGUAAGUCGGCUGUGAAAGUCCAGGGCUCAACCCUGGGAUGCCGGUUGAUACUGCCGGACUAGAGUUCGGAAGAGGCGAGUGGAAUUCCCGGUGUAGCGGUGAAAUGCGCAGAUAUCGGGAGGAACACCUAUGGCGAAGGCAGCUCGCUGGGACGUUACUGACGCUGAGACGCGAAAGCGUGGGGAGCAAACAGG